rnacentral:lncRNA from 1 species
UUUCAGCUAUUUUAGAACUAAUAAACAAUUGUCAAUGUCAUGGCCAACACGGAGCAGAAGCCGCGGCACUUACGGAAGAUCAAAGGCAGGAGACGAGCUCUUCUUUGGGAAGAGGACGGGAGAGAGACCGUCCUCCUCCCUACGUGGUCUCGGGCUCCAGCCCAGGUGGCAGCCGCCGAUUCCUCCUUCUGUGGACCCCACCUGAGGGGCAGGGACUUGUGCGUGUGGGGCUGCACCCAGGUGUCCUGUCGCCACACUUGCGGCUGUCUGGCAGGUCCCCAACACUGUGUUUUUGCCUCAAAGAGCACCCACUGCGUGCUGAGCACCCUGAUGAAUUUCUUGGGGUCGGUAAGGGGGAUCCCCUUGAAUCCAGGGGGGCUGUCACCUGCCUCCUGCACGAGGAGCUUGUCUGAGCCCUGCCUCCUUGCAGCCCGUCCCAGCACUCCAGCGAGGGGUCCCGUGGGAGGGAGCCCUGGGCCCUCGUUCCCCCGGUCCCCCGUGGCUCCAGCUUCACUGGAGGAGAAGCCGCAGCCUUCGGGAGGCCAACGCGGCCCCCCAGUCUAUUCCCGAGGGCCACGUCCCAAGAGGUCUCUCUGAGCCGUCUUAGCUGCCCCUCAGGGCCAGCACUCUUGCCAAACCCAUUUUACAGGUGAG